rnacentral:rRNA from 1 species
AUACGGAGGGUGCAAGCGUUAACCGGAAUUACUGGGCGUAAAGCGUACGUAGGCGGUUAUUUAAGUCAGAUGUGAAAGCCCCGGGCUUAACUUGGGAACUGCAUUUGAAACUGGGUAACUAGAGUUUAGUAGAGGGGAGUGGAAUUUCAGGUGUAGCGGUGAAAUGCGUAGAGAUCUGAAGGAACACCAGUGGCGAAGGCGACUCCCUGGACUAGAACUGACGCUGAGGUACGAAAGCGUGGGUAGCAAACAGGAUUAGAAACCCCAGUAGUCC